GAUGAACGCUGGCGGCGUGCCUAAUACAUGCAAGUCGAGCGAAGCGGGGGCGGGUGAGUAAAACGUGGGUAACCUCCUCUAAGAAUGGGAUUACCUCGGGAAAACGGAGCUAAACCGGAUAAUUAUCGCUGGAUCCGCUCUGCAUUAGCUAGUUGGUAAGGUAACGGCUUACCAAGGCAACGAUGCAUAGCCGACCUGAGAGGGUGAUCAGCCACACUGGCACUGAGACACGGUCCAGACUCCUACGGGAGGCAGCAGUAGGGAAUCUUCCGCAAUGGGCGAAAGCCUGACGGAGCAACGCCGCGUGUGUGAUGAAGGUCUUCGGAUUGUAAAGCUCUUUUAGUAGGGAAGCGGUACCUAAUCAGGAAGCCACGGCUAACUACGUGCCAGCAGCCGCGGUAAUAC
rnacentral:rRNA from 1 species